rnacentral:rRNA from 1 species
UACCGGCAGUUCAAGUUGCAACCAACAUUAUUGGGUCUAAAACAUCCGUAGCUUGUUUGAUAAGUCUCUUGUGAAAUCUGAUAUCUCAAAUAUCAGGCGUGCAAGAGAUACUGUUAAGCUAGAGAUCGGUAGGUGUAAGAAGUACGCGAGAGGUAGUGGUUAAAUACGUUAAUCUUUCGUGGACUCACAAUUAGCGAAGGCAUCUUACAAGAACGAAUCUGACAGUGAGGGAUGAAGGCUAGGGGCGCAAAACGG